rnacentral:rRNA from 1 species
GUCUACGGCCAUGCCACCCUGAAUGUGCCCGAUCUCGUCCGAUCUCGGAAGCUACGCAGAGUCAGGCCUAGUUGGGAUGGGAGACCCAUCCUAGGAAUACCAGGUGCUGUAGGCA